rnacentral:rRNA from 1 species
GAUUAUGGCUCAGGAUGAACGCUAGCGGCAGGCUUAACACAUGCAAGUCGAGGGGCAGCGGGAUGUAGCAAUACAUUGCCGGCGACCGGCGGAUGGGUGCGUAACGCGUAUGCAACCUACCUUAUACAGGGGAAUAACCUUUCGAAAGGGAGACUAACACCCCAUAGUAUUGAUUUAAGGCAUCUUAGAUUAAUUAAAUAUUUAUAGGUAUAAGAUGGGCAUGCGUAUGAUUAGCUAGUUGGUAAGGUAACGGCUUACCAAGGCGACGAUCAUUAGGGGUUCUGAGAGGAAGGUCCCCCACACUGGUACUGAGACACGGACCAGACUCCUACGGGAGGCAGCAGUGAGGAAUAUUGGUCAAUGGGCGCAAGCCUGAACCAGCCAUGCCGCGUGCAGGAAAGACGGCCUUAUGGGUUGUAAACUGCUUUUACAUAAGACUAACCGUAUAUUUGCGAAUAUACCUGAAUGUAUUAUGAGAAUAAGGAUCGGCUAACUCCGUGCCAGCCGCAGC